UAGGGAAUCUUCCACAAUGGGCGCAAGCCUGAUGGAGCAACGCCGCGUGAGUGAAGAAGGUCUUCGGAUCGUAAAACUCUGUUGUUAGAGAAGAACAUGCAGGAGAGUAACUGUUCUUGUAUUGACGGUAUCUAACCAGAAAGCCACGGCUAACUACGAGCCAG
rnacentral:rRNA from 1 species